rnacentral:rRNA from 1 species
AUUGAACGCUGGCGGCAGGCCUAACACAUGCAAGUCGAGCGGAUGAAGGGAGCUUGCUCCUGGAUUCAGCGGCGGACGGGUGAGUAAUGCCUAGGAAUCUGCCUGGUAGUGGGGGAUAACGUCCGGAAACGGGCGCUAAUACCGCAUACGUCCUGAGGGAGAAAGUGGGGGAUCUUCGGACCUCACGCUAUCAGAUGAGCCUAGGACGGAUUAGCUAGUUGGUGGGGUAAAGGCCUACCAAGGCGACGAUCCGUAACUGGUCUGAGAGGAUGAUCAGUCAGACUGGAACUGAGACACGUUCCAGACUCCUACGGGAGGCAGCAGUGGGGAAUAUUGGACAAUGGGCGAAAGCCUGAUCCAGCCAUGCCGCGUGUGUGAAGAAGGUCUUCGGAUUGUAAAGCACUUUAAGUUGGGAGGAAGGGCAGUAAGUUAAUACCUUGCUGUUUUGACGUUACCAACAGAAUAAGCACCGGCUAACUUCGUG